rnacentral:rRNA from 1 species
AGUGAACGCUGGCGGUAGGCCUAACACAUGCAAGUCGAACGGCAGCACAGUAAGAGCUUGCUCUUACGGGUGGCGAGUGGCGGACGGGUGAGGAAUACAUCGGAAUCUACUUUUUCGUGGGGGAUAACGUAGGGAAACUUGCGCUAAUACCGCAUACGACCUACGGGUGAAAGCAGGGGAUCUUCGGACCUUGCGCGAUUGAAUGAGCCGAUGUGGGAUUAGCUAGUUGGCGGGGUAAAGGCCCACCAAGGCGACGAUCCGUAGCUGGUCUGAGAGGAUGAUCAGCCACACUGGAACUGAGACACGGUCCAGACUCCUACGGGAGGCAGCAGUGGGGAAUAUUGGACAAUGGGCGCAAGCCUGAUCCAGCCAUACCGCGUGGGUGAAGAAGGCCUUCGGGUUGUAAAGCCCUUUUGUUGGGAAAGAAAAGCAGCAGGUUAAUACCCCGCUGUUCUGACGGUACCCAAAGAAUAAGCACCGGCUAACUUCGUG